rnacentral:rRNA from 1 species
AACAGGAUUAGAUACCCUGGUAGUCCAUGCCGUAAACGAUGAGUGCUAGGUGUUGGAGGGUUUCCGCCCUUCAGUGCCGGAGCUAACGCAUUAAGCACUCCGCCUGGGGAGUACGACCGCAAGGUUGAAACUCAAAGGAAUUGACGGGGGCCCGCACAAGCGGUGGAGCAUGUGGUUUAAUUCGAAGCUACGCGAAGAACCUUACCAGGUCUUGACAUCUUGCGCUAACCUAAGAGAUUAGGCGUUCCCUUCGGGGACGCAAUGACAGGUGGUGCAUGGUCGUCGUCAGCUCGUGUCGUGAGAUGUUGGGUUAAGUCCCGCAACGAGCGCAACCCUUGUUACUAGUUGCCAGCAUUCAGUUGGGCACUCUAGUGAGACUGCCGGUGACAAACCGGAGGAAGGUGGGGACGACGUCAGAUCAUCAUGCCCCUUAUGACCUGGGCUACACACGUGCUACAAUGGUCGGUACAACGAGUCGCUAACCCGCGAGGGCAAGCUAAUCUCUUAAAGCCGAUCUCAGUUCGGACUGUAGGCUGCAACUCGCCUACACGAAGUCGGAAUCGCUAGUAAUCGCGGAUCAGCAUGCCGCGGUGAAUACGUUCCCGGGCCUUGUACACACCGCCCGUCACACCAUGGAAGUUUGUAACGCCCAAAGUCGGUGGCCUAACCAUUUGGAGGGAGCCGCCUGAGGCGGGACAGAUGAUUAGGGUGAAGUCGUAACAAGGUAACC